AGCCUAUGCUGCUGCUUUGCCUAUGAAGCAGCUAUUCUUUAUUCCUUUACUUUCUUAAUAUACUUCCUUUCAUUUUACUCUGUGGACUCGCCCUGAAUUCUCUCUUGCACGAGAUCCAACAACCCUCUCUUGAGGUUUGGACUGGGACCCCUUUCUGGUCCGGCCCAGAGGGGAAAUGGAAAGAAGUCAGGAUCCAGAACAGUAAGGUCUGCAGAUGUCUGGGCAGUUUGCUGGAACACAACUGGGGUUAUAUCUGCAAAUGCUAGAGCCCAUCUACACACAGCAAAAUAUCUCACAAUGAAUUCCCAUCCACAGCCUCAGCAAUGGGCUGGUGUGUCCCCAGAGAAUGUCAGCUGAUUGGACAGCAGUCUGCAGGAGAAGGUGAAUCCCCUAAUUUGGAAGGAACUGAAGCAUGAAAAGAUGCUGAGAUCACAAUGAAAACAGACAAAGUCUUCUGGGGAUGAAAUGUUAAAAAGGGGAGAUGUGCAAGGAACACAGGAAGAAUAAGUUCAGGAGAUCUGUUAUACAACAUGGGGAUGAUAGUUAAUAACAAUGCAUGGUACAUUUGGGGAUUGCUAAAGGAACACCUUGUAAAGAUUUCCACCCUUCCUCUUGAAUGAUAAGUAUGAAAUGUGACGGAUAUAUUUCUUAGCUUGAUGUAGCUGUUCCACCGUGUGUGCAUAUAUCAAAACAUCACGUUGUAUCCCAUAAAUGUAUAUCGUUUAAAUUUGUUAAUUAAAAUAAUAAAUAAUAAAGAAC
rnacentral:lncRNA from 1 species